rnacentral:lncRNA from 1 species
AUGGGUCAAACAAACAUGAACUUGGAGGCCUUUGGGUCACUCAGAAACGCACUCGGAGGCCCCUGGGACACACAGGAGCAGAGAGGUCCCAGGGGCUACCCAGGAAGGCAUGUGGAAGUCCCCAGGCCACACACGAACGCACUCAGGGGUUGCUGGGAAGCAAAGAAUAGCACUUGGAGGUUCUUGACAGGCACCAGGAGGCACUUGGAGGCCACAGGACCUCACUGAGAUGCACAAAACAACCACUGGGCCACACAGAAAAGGCCAAGGAGGCUCAUGGGUCUCACUGAAAGGUAUUUGAAUGCUCUGGGACCACGAGGAAAGUAACACCAAGGACUAAAAGGUGAAGAGAAAUUUCCUUGGACAACCCCUAGGCUGCAAAGUAAGGCACUUGGAGUCCUCAGGGGUGCACCAAAACACACUUGGAAGCCCUUGGGCACCACAGAAAGGCACAAGGAGCCCUGGAGGCCUCACUGGAAGGCCUAGGAAGUCACAGAAUUGUAGGGGUUGGAAGGGACCUCAAGAUCUCCGGACUGCACAGAAAAGCACUUGAAGUCACACAGCAACAUGCCCAGCCCUGUGUGACUGGCAUGUCUGUGGAGACACUGUCCUCUGCAGUGUGCUCAGUGCAGCUGCAGGGCCUGGGCAUGGAGACUCUGCACACCAGCCUUCUCAGGCCGGCUGCAUGGACCAGGAGACAGGAGCUUGGACACCUCACCCGCAGCAGCGUACACAUGCCCUUGCAUUCAGCAGCAUAACCUGACAGAUCCCAACUCCAGCUGUCUUUCAGUGCCUUCUGAUGAGCGCAAUGGCCCUCUGAGUGCCUUUUGGUGUGCUUUUGUUUGGAUGAAAAAGACCUGGAAGUGCAUUUGGCAUUCCUCAGGUGCCAAAGCCCAUUCUUGACAAUUAUCCUAAACUUUCCCUGACCCUAAAAUUUACCCUAACCCAAAACACUAACCUUAACACUAAACACUAACUCUAAACUCUAACCCUAAACCAAAAUCAGGUGCCUUAGAGUACUAAACCCUAGCCCUGUCAUUAAUCAUAACCCUAACCCCUAACUCUAGCCCUAAUCCUAAUGAGACUCAAAUACCCAACUACUUCUAAACCCCUAACCCCUAACCCUAAUCCAGACAUGGACCCACUUCUGGGAAUCUUCAAGUGCCAUCUGAUGAGCACAAUGGCCCUCUGAGUGCUUUCUGGUGUGCUUCAUAUGAAGCUGAGAGAG